UUAAAAAAGAAAGAAAAAGAAGAGGUCACAGGAGAGAACUCACUCAAGGGUUCCUUUUCUUUUGCAUUUCUCUCUCUCUUUCUCCUUUUCUUUAAC
rnacentral:ribozyme from 1 species